GAUGAACGCUGGCGGCGUGCCUAAUACAUGCAAGUCGAGCGAACGGACGAGAAGCUUGCUUCUCUGAUGUUAGCGGCGGACGGGAGAGUAACACGUGGAUAACCUACCUAUAAGACUGGGAUAACUUCGGGAAACCGUAGCUAAUACCGGAUAAUAUUUUGAAACGCAUGGUUCAAAUGUGAAAGCCGGUCUUGCUGUUACUUAUAGAUGGAUCCGCGCUGCAUUAGCUAGUUGGUAAGGUAACGGCUUACCAAGGCAACGAUGCAUAGCCGACCUGAGAGGGUGAUCGGCCACACUGGAACUGAGACACGGUCCAGACUCCUACGGGAGGCAGCAGUAGGGAAUCUUACGCAAUGGGCGAAAGCCUGACGGAGCAACGCCGCGUGAGUGAUGAAGGUCUUCGGAUCGUAAAACUCUGUUAUUAGGAAAGAACAUAUGUGUAAGUAACUGUGCACAUCUUGACGGUACCUAAUCAGAAAGCCACGGCUAACUACGUG
rnacentral:rRNA from 1 species